rnacentral:rRNA from 1 species
UACGUAGGGGGCUAGCGUUGUCCGGAAUCAUUGGGCGUAAAGCGCGUGUAGGCGGCCCGGUAAGUCCGCUGUGAAAGUCGGGGGCUCAACCCUCGGAUGCCGGUGGAUACUGCCGGGCUCGAGUACGGAAGAGGCGAGUGGAAUUCCUGGUGUAGCGGUGAAAUGCGCAGAUAUCAGGAAGAACACCCGUGGCGAAAGCGGCUCUCUGGAACGGUACUGACGCUGAGACGCGAAAGCGUGGGGAGCGAACAGG